rnacentral:rRNA from 1 species
GUGCUAAGGUAGCAUAAUAACUUGUCCCCUAAUUUGGGAAUAGAAUGAAUGAAUAAACAAUAAGAAAGCUGUCUCAUUAUAUAUCAAAAAAAUUUAUCUGGGGGUGAAAAAGCCCCCAUACCCAUAAAAGACAAAAAGACCCUAGAAGCUUAUAAACAAUUACAGACUACCUGUAAUAUUUUUGGGCUGGGAGGGCAAAAAGCACCAAAAACGCUUACCACACAAACGAUAUCAAAUCAACAAAACUAACCCCAAUAAGAAAACGAGCAAGUUACUCUAGGGGUAACAGGCUAAUGCUCUUCAAGAGUACGUAUUGACAAGAGUGAUUGGCACCUCGAUGUUGGCUUAGGAUACUUAUUUUACGCAGAAGUAAAAAAAAGUGGUUUGUUCAACCUGUAAUAUCCUACAUGAUCUGAG